GAUGAACGCUGGCGGCGUGCCUAAUACAUGCAAGUCGAGCGAACGGACGAGAAGCUUGCUUCUCUGAUGUUAGCGGCGGACGGGUGAGUAACACGUGGAUAACCUACCUAUAAGACUGGGAUAACUUCGGGAAACCGGAGCUAAUACCGGAUAAUAUUUUGAACCGCAUGGUUCAAAAGUGAAAGACGGUCUUGCUGUCACUUAUAGAUGGAUCCGCGCUGCAUUAGCUAGUUGGUAAGGUAACGGCUUACCAAGGCAACGAUGCAUAGCCGACCUGAGAGGGUGACCGGCCACACUGGAACUGAGACACGGUCCAGACUCCUACGGGAGGCAGCGGUGGGGAAUCUUCCGCAAUGGGCGAAAGCCUGCGGGAGCAACGCCGGGUGAGUGAUGAAGUGCUUCGGAUCGUAAAACUCUUUUUUUGGGGAAAAACAAAUUUUUAAGUAACUGGGCACAUUUUGAGGGUACCUAAAAAGAAAGCCACGGCUAACUACGU
rnacentral:rRNA from 1 species